CUGAAAUAUGUAGGACGGUAGCUCUCCAGGAGCAGGGUUGGAGACCCCUGCCCUAUGGUUUCGUGGACUUAACGGACACGCGGACGCCGCGGCCAUUCUCUCCACAGGUGAUCUUGAGCUCCAUGUGAUCCAGAACUGAUGGGCUUUUGUCAGCCUCGAUGCUAAGGGCUUUUCUGGUCUGCCUAAAGAAGCUUUACAACUCAUCAUAACUGUGAUAACCAGCAGAGUGGCUCUCUGCUGGCCUGGAAGUUGUGAGGCAAGAUUCUGGAUGGGUCCUUUGGAUGAGAUAUAUGGAGUCUGCACAGAGAAUGAUACAGAGCCUGCAGCAGGUUGAAUAUUUGGAAGUAAAAAACAAACUGAGGGGACAAAUAGAACUCCAACAGCUAAUGAAGAAGAAAGUUGCACUAGAAAUGGUGGCUGCACAAGGAACUUCAGAUGCACUGCCUGGAGGUCAUCAAGCUGCACUUCCACCACGGGGUCCUCUCCUUUCUAAUGUUGGCAAUGUUGUGUAAUACAGCACAUGCGACAAUGAUGCAUGCCCUGUCAGAGAUGGAAGCAGCUGUCCCAUUAUUCCUAAUCAUACUCCCACAACUUUAUUUCCUGCACCAGCUGGCUUUGAGCUUUAUUCCGGGCAUCGGUGAAGAUGAAGUACUGAGUUGUAUGGUUGUCUGCUCUGCCAAUGACAAACUCCAGCAUCUCCCUAUCACCCUGAAGAAUGAUACGUGUGUCUUUGUCUUCAGGAUCUUCUCUAGGGGCAGCGUUUUGCCCAAGAAAAUUCUCUGGCGUGGAGGGUGUGCAGGGGCUGAUGAGUGCUGUACAUGAGGUGCAGGUCUCCACAGGUGAUCUUGAGCUCCAUGUGAUCCAGAACUGAUGGAUUAUUUUCAGCCUUCGCUGCUCAGGACUUUUUUAGCCUGCUCAAAGCAGCUUUCCAACUCAUCAUGACAGUGAUGUCCAGCAAAGUGGCUAUCUGCCAGGCUGGAGGUUGUGAGUCGAGAUUCCAGAUGGGUCCUUUGGAGGAGCUGUGGCCCCUUUGAGCCCAGAUGUACCAUGUAGGACAGGGCAGGUGUUCUGGUGGUGAUACGCACCAGGUGGCGCUCUCCUUCCAGUGUUAGAGAGAUGUCACACCGCUUGGAUGCAGGAAAGGCCUCCAGGGCUCGGAUUGAAAAGUCAAGAUUGGUUUUCAGGUGCGAGUUCAGCAAUCCUUCCUGACGGAUUUUCCAUUUCACAGAGAGAAGGCAGUCCAGAUCAAGAGAGGGUAGAGUGAAAUAUCUCCUUUUGGGAAGAAAUAAACAAAUGAGCAUUGAUUGUAUGGAAAAUAUAUGGUAACCUUAGAAAGAAUAAAUAAGUUUGGACAAACUUUUUUUUGUCCUAAAUUUUAAUGAUUUUAAUAAUGAACUUUCUCAUAUCAAAUUAUUUUUCAUUUUGUAACAGUAAAUCUCAAAGAGAUAACAUACAUACAGGAUUCAGAGUUACUUCACAAGAAGCCUGUUUAGCGAAACAAAACAUAUUGGCCCAGUUAACAACCAGAAAUACAGGUGAUCUGGGUUAAAAUGCAAAACAUCAACAAAAACUCUACUGGAUCGCAUGAUAGACAU
ensembl:lncRNA